rnacentral:rRNA from 1 species
AUUCCAGCUCCAAUAGCGUAUAUUAAAGUUGUUGCAGUUAAAAAGCUCGUAGUCGGAUUUUGGCAUCACGCCGAACUGUCUGCCGAUUGGUAAGUACGGUUUGGCGGGUGCUUCCUUCCGGAGGCUCGUUCCCUUCUUCAUUGAAGGGUUCGUUGGUUCCGGGUCUUUUACUUUGAGAAAAUUAGAGUGUUCAAAGCAGGCCUAUGCUCUGAAUAGGUUAGCAUGGAAUAAUAGAAUAGGACUUUGGUUCUAUUUUGUUGGUUUCUAGGACCGAAGUAAUGAUUAACAGGGACAGUCAGGGGCACUCGUAUUCCGCCGAGAGAGGUGAAAUUCUCAGACCAGCGGAAGACGAACCACUGCGAAAGCAUUUGCCAGGGAUGUUUUCACCA